GGGUGGUUAGCUCAGUGGUAGAGCGUCUCGUUUACACCGAGAAUGUCGGGGGUUCGAAACCCUCACCGCCCAC
rnacentral:tRNA from 1 species